UACGGAGGGGGCUAGCGUUGUUCGGAAUUACUGGGCGUAAAGGGCGCGUAGGCGGUUCAUCAAGUCGGGCGUGAAAAGGCCUGGGCUCAACCCGGGAAUGGCGCUCGAGACUGGUGGGGCUUGGAGUCCGGGAGAGGAUGGUGGAAUUCCCAGUGUAGAGGUGAAAUUCGUAGAUAUUGGGAAGAACACCGGGUGGCGAAGGCGGCCAUCUGGACCGGUACUGGACGCUGAGGCGGCGAAAAGCGUGGGGAGCAAACAGGG
rnacentral:rRNA from 1 species